rnacentral:siRNA from 1 species
AUGCAAACUCGUUCUCAAGGUUCU